AACAGGUCACAAGCAAGAACAUAGUGCAAAAGAUCAAUGAAAAUGUGGCAUUGAUUCUUGAAAAUACAGCAGUGAAGCCGUUUACAAAAGAUGAGGCAAAAAAUGGAAUACAGGAAAAAUAUAUUUUCAAGCACCUGUUUAUCUGGGCAGUACUUAUGAAUCGAAAAGAGUUAGCAAUGUUGUUUUGGAACAAAGAAGAAAAAGACUAUAUUUUUUCAGCCUUAUAUGCAAGCUCGCUAGCCAAAAAGCUCGCACAAAAUGCCAGCGAGGAAUCAUACACUGAUGAACAGGCAGCUUUAGUGGAAAAUUCAAG